rnacentral:rRNA from 1 species
GGGUUGUGAGGUUAAGCGACUAAGCGUACACGGUGGAUGCCCUGGCAGUCAGAGGCGAUGAAGGACGUGCUAAUCUGCGAAAAGCGCCGGCGAGGUGAUAUGAACCUUUGACCCGGCGAUGUCCGAAUGGGGAAACCCAGUGCAAUCCGUUGCACUAUCGUUAACUGAAUACAUAGGUUAACGAGGCGAACCGGGGGAACUGAAACAUCUAAGUACCCCGAGGAAAAGAAAUCAACCGAGAUUCCCCCAGUAGCGGCGAGCGAACGGGGAGCAGCCCGGAGUCUGAAUCAGCUUGUGUGUUAGUGGAACGGUCUGGAAAGUCCGACGGUACAGGGUGAUAGUCCCGUACACGAAAGCACACAUGCUGUGAACUCGAAGAGUAGGGCGGGACACGUGGUAUCCUGUCUGAAUAUGGGGGGACCAUCCUCCAAGGCUAAAUACUCCUGACUGACCGAUAGUGAACCAGUACCGUGAGGGAAAGGCGAAAAGAACCCCGGCGAGGGGAGUGAAAAAGAACCUGAAACCGUGUACGUACAAGCAGUGGGAGCCUCUUUAUGGGGUGACUGCGUACCUUUUGUAUAAUGGGUCAGCGACUUAUAUUCUGUAGCAAGGUUAACCGUAUAGGGGAGCCGAAGGGAAACCGAGUCUUAACUGGGCGUUAAGUUGCAGGGUAUAGACCCGAAACCCGGUGAUCUAGCCAUGGGCAGGUUGAAGGUUGGGUAACACUAACUGGAGGACCGAACCGACUAAUGUUGAAAAAUUAGCGGAUGACCUGUGGCUGGGGGUGAAAGGCCAAUCAAACCGGGAGAUAGCUGGUUCUCCCCGAAAGCUAUUUAGGUAGCGCCUCGUGAAUUCAUCUUCGGGGGUAGAGCACUGUUUCGGCUAGGGGGCCAUCCCGGCUUACCAACCCGAUGCAAACUACGAAUACCGAAGAAUGUUAUCACGGGAGACACACGGCGGGUGCUAACGUCCGUCGUGAAGAGGGAAACAACCCAGACCGCCAGCUAAGGUCCCAAAGUCAUGGUUAAGUGGGAAACGAUGUGGGAAGGCACAGACAGCCAGGAUGUUGGCUUAGAAGCAGCCAUCAUUUAAAGAAAGCGUAAUAGCUCACUGGUCGAGUCGGCCUGCGCGGAAGAUGUAACGGGGCUAAACCAUGCACCGAAGCUGCGGCAGCGACGCUUAGGCGUUGUUGGGUAGGGGAGCGUUCUGUAAGCCGUUGAAGGUGUGCUGUGAGGCAUGCUGGAGGUAUCAGAAGUGCGAAUGCUGACAUAAGUAACGAUAAAGCGGGUGAAAAGCCCGCUCGCCGGAAGACCAAGGGUUCCUGUCCAACGUUAAUCGGGGCAGGGUGAGUCGACCCCUAAGGCGAGGCCGAAAGGCGUAGUCGAUGGGAAACAGGUUAAUAUUCCUGUACUUGGUGUUACUGCGAAGGGGGGACGGAGAAGGCUAUGUCAGCCGGGCGACGGUUGUCCCGGUUUAAGCAUGUAGGCGGAGGUUCCAGGUAAAUCCGGUACCUUGUUAACGCUGAGGUGUGAUGACGAGGCACUACGGUGCUGAAGUGAUAAAUGCCCUGCUUCCAGGAAAAGCCUCUAAGCAUCAGGUAACACGAAAUCGUACCCCAAACCGACACAGGUGGUCAGGUAGAGAAUACCAAGGCGCUUGAGAGAACUCGGGUGAAGGAACUAGGCAAAAUGGUGCCGUAACUUCGGGAGAAGGCACGCUGAUAUGUAGGUGAAGCCCCUGCGGGCGGAGCUGAAAUCAGUCGAAGAUACCAGCUGGCUGCAACUGUUUAUUAAAAACACAGCACUGUGCAAACACGAAAGUGGACGUAUACGGUGUGACGCCUGCCCGGUGCCGGAAGGUUAAUUGAUGGGGUUAGCGGCAACGCGAAGCUCUUGAUCGAAGCCCCGGUAAACGGCGGCCGUAACUAUAACGGUCCUAAGGUAGCGAAAUUCCUUGUCGGGUAAGUUCCGACCUGCACGAAUGGCGUAAUGAUGGCCAGGCUGUCUCCACCCGAGACUCAGUGAAAUUGAACUCGCUGUGAAGAUGCAGUGUACCCGCGGCAAGACGGAAAGACCCCGUGAACCUUUACUAUAGCUUGACACUGAACACUGGUCCUUGAUGUGUAGGAUAGGUGGGAGGCUUUGAAGCGUGGACGCCAGUCUGCGUGGAGCCAACCUUGAAAUACCACCCUUUAAUGGCUGGUGUUCUAACGUAGACCCGUAAUCCGGGUUGCGGACAGUGUCUGGUGGGUAGUUUGACUGGGGCGGUCUCCUCCCAAAGAGUAACGGAGGAGCACGAAGGUUGGCUAAUCCUGGUCGGACAUCAGGAGGUUAGUGCAAUGGCAUAAGCCAGCUUGACUGCGAGCGUGACGGCGCGAGCAGGUGCGAAAGCAGGUCAUAGUGAUCCGGUGGUUCUGAAUGGAAGGGCCAUCGCUCAACGGAUAAAAGGUACUCCGGGGAUAACAGGCUGAUACCGCCCAAGAGUUCAUAUCGACGGCGGUGUUUGGCACCUCGAUGUCGGCUCAUCACAUCCUGGGGCUGAAGUAGGUCCCAAGGGUAUGGCUGUUCGCCAUUUAAAGUGGUACGCGAGCUGGGUUUAGAACGUCGUGAGACAGUUCGGUCCCUAUCUGCCGUGGGCGCUGGAGAAUUGAGGGGGGCUGCUCCUAGUACGAGAGGACCGGAGUGGACGCAUCACUGGUGUUCGGGUUGUCAUGCCAAUGGCACUGCCCGGUAGCUAAAUGCGGAAGAGAUAAGUGCUGAAAGCAUCUAAGCACGAAACUUGCCCCGAGAUGAGUUCUCCCUGAGACCUUGAGUCUCCUGAAGGAACGUUGAAGACGACGACGUUGAUAGGUCGGGUGUGUAAGCGCAGCGAUGCGUUGAGCUAACCGAUACUAAUGAACCGUGAGGCUUAACCUUACAACGCCGAAGCUGUU